rnacentral:rRNA from 1 species
UACGUAGGUGGCAAGCGUUGUCCGGAUUUACUGGGCGUAAAGAGCGCGCAGGCGGUCGUUCAAGUCGCGUGUGAAAGCCCCCGGCUCAACUGGGGAGGGUCACGCGAUACUGAUCGACUCGAAGGCAGGAGAGGGAAGUGGAAUUCCCGGUGUAGUGGUGAAAUGCGUAGAUAUCGGGAGGAACACCAGUGGCGAAGGCGACUUCCUGGCCUGUUCUUGACGCUGAGGCGCGGAAGCUAGGGGAGCAAACGGG